rnacentral:misc_RNA from 1 species
UCCACCGAAGGGCCAGGUCGGUGGCCCAUUUGCAGAUGCGACGGCCAUCACAGACCAAGGUAUCGUGCCACGGCGUGUUCCACCUUGGCCAUUUGGUCACGGUCCAGAUAGUCGACCGGAUCGCCGUGCACAUAGACGAUGCCGAUCGUCCGGAUCUGAUC